ACCUCAAGAAAUUGUUUCAUUUCCAUUCCAACAAUUGGCCCAAUUCUUGUUGAGACUAAACAAAGAUGAUACACACGUCCAAGAAAUGCUAGCCAUUAAUAAACAACAAAAAAGAACACAAAACCAAAACCCAUUAAUUAUCAAAAACAUAUUACAGUAAAUGAGUUUCAGAACACCAUGAAUGGCCUAACCUCCUCCGUUGCAUCUCCCUUUCUUGUUUUGUCAUUAAUUAAAGACUAGUACCUGAACGUUACAUGCCUCCAUCCUCAGUAUAGUACCCCUUCUUUGCCUAACUUGCUUGGCAGAAAAAAUAUAUACUUAGCUAAGCAAAGGGAUUGAUCACCAGAAAGCUUCUUUUUCCCAUGGCCAGCUAGGGUUAGGUAUUCAACAUUCAUGUGGCAUUGUUUUUGUUUCUGUUUCUUUUUUCUUUUCUUUUGGGGGGCUGCCAUGGCAGUUAGUACAAGUUACUGUUGGAUCAC
rnacentral:lncRNA from 1 species